CUAGAGUUUGAUCCUGGCUCAGGAUGAACGCUGGCGGCGUGCUUAACACAUGCAAGUCGAACGAAGAGAGAUUAGCUUGCUAAUUGAACUUAGUGGCGGACGGGUGAGUAACGUGUGGGCAACCUACCUUAUACAGGGGAAUAAUCACUGGAAAACGGUGACUAAUACCGCAUAAUAUUGCGAUAAGGCAUCUUAUUGCAAAGAAAGGAGCAAUCCGGUAAAAGAUGGGCCCGCAUCUGAUUAGCUAGUUGGUGAGAUAACAGCCCACCAAGGCAACGAUCAGUAGCCGACCUGAGAGGGUGAUCGGCCACAUUGGGACUGAGACACGGCCCAAACUCCUACGGGAGGCAGCAGUGGGGAAUAUUGCACAAUGGGGGAAACCCUGAUGCAGCGACGCCGCGUGAGUGAAGAAGUAUUUCGGUAUGUAAAGCUCUAUCAGCAGGGAAGAAAAUGACGGUACCUGACUAAGAAGCCCCGGCUAACUACGUGCCAGCAGCCGCGGUAA
rnacentral:rRNA from 1 species